rnacentral:misc_RNA from 1 species
GAUGAAGAACGCAGCGAAAUGCGAUAAGUAAUGUGAAUUGCAGAAUUCAGUGAAUCAUCGAAUCUUUGAACGCACAUUGCGCCCACCAGUAUUCUGGCGGGCAUGCCUGUUCGAGCGUCAUUUCAACCCUCAGGCCCCCAGUGCCUGGUGUUGGGGAUCGGCCCAGCCUUCCUGUAAGGCCGCCGGCCCCGAAAUCUAGUGGCGGUCUCGCUGUAGUCCUCCUCUGCGUAGUAGCACAACCUCGCAGUUGGAACGCGGCGGUGGCCAUGCCGUUAAACACCCCACUUCUGAAAGUUGACCUCGGAUCAGGUAGGAAUACCCGCUGAACUUAAGCAUAUCAAUAAGCGGAGGA